rnacentral:rRNA from 1 species
CCUACGGGAGGCAGCAGUGAGGAAUAUUGGUCAAUGGGCGUACGCCUGAACCAGCCAAGUCGCGUGAGGGAAGACUGCCCUAUGGGUUGUAAACCUCUUUUGUCAGGGAGCAACGCCGGCUACGUGUAGCCGGACUGAGAGUACCUGAAGAAAAAGCAUCGGCUAACUCCGUGCCAGCAGCCGCGGUAAUACGGAGGAUGCGAGCGUUAUCCGGAUUGAUUGGGUUUAAAGGGUGCGUAGGCGGAAUGCCAAGUCAGCGGUAAAAUCGCGGGGCUCAACCUCGCUCCGCCGUUGAAACUGGCGUUCUUGAGUGGGCGAGAAGUAUGCGGAAUGCGUGGUGUAGCGGUGAAAUGCAUAGAUAUCACGCAGAACUCCGAUUGCGAAGGCAGCAUACCGGCGCCCAACUGACGCUGAAGCACGAAAGCGUGGGUAUCGAACAGGAUUAGAUACCCCAGUAGUC